UAUAAUGUUUUGACUCUUCGUCUUAUUUGAUUUUUUACGAUUAAAAUUUUUAUUGUUACUAUAUAGUAAAACACAGAUAGUAUUUUAUGCACGACUACUUUUUUUUAAAGUUUUUAUAUAAAUUUUUCAAAUAAGACGAAUGGUCAAAUGGUUAGACACAAAAAUCGA
rnacentral:pre_miRNA from 1 species